CAGCCGCCGCGGUAAUACGUAGGGUGCGAGCGUUAAUCGGAAUUACUGGGCGUAAAGCGUGCGCAGGCGGUUAUGUAAGACAGUUGUGAAAUCCCCGGGCUCAACCUGGGAAUUGCAUCUGUGACUGCAUAGCUAGAGUACGGUAGAGGGGGAUGGAAUUCCGCGUGUAGCAGUGAAAUGCGUAGAUAUGCGGAGGAACACCGAUGGCGAAGGCAAUCCCCUGGACCUGUACUGACGCUCAUGCACGAAAGCGUGGGGAGCAAACAGGAUUAGAUACCCCCGUAGUCCCUGUCUCUUAUAC
rnacentral:rRNA from 1 species